rnacentral:rRNA from 1 species
UAGGGAAUCUUCCGCAAUGGGCGAAAGCCUGACGGAGCAACGCCGCGUGAGUGAUGAAGGUCUUCGGAUCGUAAAACUCUGUUAUUAGGGAAGAACAAAUGUGUAAGUAACUAUGCACGUCUUGACGGUACCUAAUCAGAAAGCCACGGCUAACUACGUGCCAGCAGCCGCGGUAAUACGUAGGUGGCAAGCGUUAUCCGGAAUUAUUGGGCGUAAAGCGCGCGUAGGCGGUUUUUUAAGACUGAUGUGAAAGCCCACGGCUCAACCGUGGAGGGUCAUUGGAAACUGGAAAACUUGAGUGCAGAAGAGGAAGGUGGAAUUCCAUGUGUAGCGGUGAAAUGCGCAGAGAUAUGGAGGAACACCAGGGGCGAAGGCGACUUUCUGGUCUGUAACUGACGCUGAUGUGCGAAAGCGUGGGGAUCAAACAGG